GGGCGAGUGGCGGAAUUGGUAGACGCUGCAGACUUAAAAUCUGUUGACCUUAAAAGUCGUGAGGGUUCAAGUCCCUCCUCGCCCACCA
rnacentral:tRNA from 1 species